rnacentral:rRNA from 1 species
GAUGAACGCUGACAGAAUGCCUAACACAUGCAAGUCAACUGUGGCGGACGGGUGAGUAACGCGUAAAGAACUUGCCUCACAGUUAGGGACAACAUUUGGAAACGAAUGCUAAUACCUGAUCCUGUGAGAGAGCUUUGCGUCCCAUUAGCUAGUUGGAGAGGUAACGGCUCACCAAGGCGAUGAUGGGUAGCCGGCCUGAGAGGGUGAUCGGCCACAAGGGGACUGGGACUCGGCCCUUACGCCUACGGGAGGCAGCAGUGGGGAAUAUUGGACAAUGGACCAGAGUCUGAUCCAGCAAUGCUGUGGGAACGAUGAAGUUUUCGGAAUGUAAAGUGCUUUCAGUUGGGAAGCGUAACCAACAGAAGAGGUAACGGCUAAAUACGUGCCAGCAGCCGCGGUAUAC